rnacentral:misc_RNA from 1 species
GUAUUUUGUUUAAGGCCUUAUCGGCACUAAUCACGUUCGAUGUUAUAAAAAGGGGUUUGUGUAAAAAGAGGGAUCCGAAAACCCCUCAGAGGUGCACAGGUGUAUGGAUAAGGAUUGUCGGAGGCGAGCACAUGCAAUAAAGCCAGCAUCAACCUCCUUUACAAUUCAUUAAUGAUCCUUCCGCAGGUUCACCUACGGAAA